rnacentral:piRNA from 1 species
UACUCAAGAGUGUGAUAAACUAGGAGCCU